rfam:Sarcophilus harrisii ctg7180001629742, whole genome shotgun sequence.
UUCAUAUAUUAAAGAAACCGCUUUUAAGUGCCUUUCUGUACUUUUCCAAGAGCUCAAAAUGGAUU